rnacentral:lncRNA from 1 species
UAGAUAACCUUUCAAACCUGGUUUGGUACUCCUGAAUGGUGGAGGUUUGUCGGAUCUUUGCUAGUUGUUCGUCAAUAUUCUCGUAAUCGGUUGGUCUGAAGUGAAUCAGCAGUCCUUCUUUGAAUUGUCGCCAUGAAAGGACUCCAUAAGUAUGUUCAAACCAAUCAAACCACUGUAUAGCAUCCCCUUCAAGAUGUAUAGCUGCAAUUUUCACCAUAGAUGCAUCCGCGGUUUUAUGGUACCGAAAAUAUCGCUCCGCGCGCGAGAUCCAACCAAUCGGGUCUCCUUCUUCCCAUCUAGGGAAAUCCACUCUCAUGCAUGGAUAGUUGGG